GCGGGGCCCGAGGUCACGCACACGGAGCUCCCAUGCUGAUCGCCGUGGCACCUGCAGCUACCCCCGGAACCCGAGGCGGGAACAUGCAGAUGAAAAUUAACUUCAGCGACCUCACCCCCAUGUCGCCACUCGCUUCUUUAUAAUCAUUGUUUCUGCUGCGCUGCAUGUUCUUUUUAAAAGAUGUGCACCGAAGUUUGUUUUACAAAACUGGCAUCAUGAUGAUAUGCAAAUGCAUUUUGUUGUGAUUUUUUUUUUUUUCACUGAAAGCAUCAUGAAUAUUUCCUUAUUCUCGCACUCCAUUGUAUUUGACAAACCACAGAGGCAAGCAAGAAGGUAACAGAGUGGCUUGUGUGACCAAAAAGCCCAGGGACUUUAACGUGCUGGAUUUAAUCGCUUCGAGGAUUUCAUUCUCCAUCUUUUGGCUCUGCUUCUUCACAAUGUGGGUCCCGUGUUCUCCAGUGGCAGAUAGACCUGUGAAGGACUGUGAAGGAAGGCCUCACUGGUACCCAAGCAAACCCGAGAAAAACUGCACCUUUGCUAGAGGUUUCCGGGUCCUGGUUCUCACGGCUAUGGGCCCAGCCCUGAAUCUGUCAUAUUCGACGGCAAGAGUGUGUGGAGCGGCCGCGGCCAAGAGCAAGGUGCGGGGUGGGUGGGCCCGCUGGGUGGGCCCGCCCCAGCGCUACAGGGUGCUGCGGUACCGCCCCAGCGUCCCCACUUAGGAUGCGGUGCUCUUCAUCCUUCCCCAGAGCGGAGAACGGCCCCUCGUGCCUCCAAGGUCACACUGAAGAAACUUCUCUCCUUUUAAGACUGCAGUCUGCAUGCUGGAGGAAAAGUGAAAUGACAAACUAGCCACUGACAAAUUUGAUUUUGAAAAUCCAGGACACAGACUCAGGAAAAAAAUGGUGCUUCUGCUGGUGUCCACUCCACUCCCAAUCCUCUUGGGCAUAUGCAGGAGGACUGGAACACAACCACCAAUAUCUAGAUCAAAAGUGAACAAGAGGAAACCCACAAGCAACGAAAGCACUGAAUCCUUCCUUCUCUUAUGAAAUUGGUCACUUCCCCCCCUCCCCAGAGGCAAAAUAUAUUAUGUUCUUGCCCUUCAAAUAAUGAAUUGUUUGAUCUCAACAAACACAAAUUGCAAUAAGUUCAUACUGCAGCCAGUUUCACAUUAAAAUUGUUCUAUUAAAUGAACAGUAGAAACCAUUUUAGGAUGGUAAAGGCCAGGAAACAAAAAUUUAUGAAAAUGCCAUAAAAUUUUGUUCAUUCUUAAAAAUAUGUUAAUCUCUUUUUAACAGAAAUGCACAUACACAAAUAUCCUGUUAAAAAAUAAAAUCUGUUCCCUUAAUUUUUUUCCAGGCCAUUACACCCUACUAAAGAGGAAGAAAAUUAGCUGCUAUCAGUUUCAUUUCUUUUCUUGUACUCUGCCCACUACCACUCAUGCAACUACCUUCUCUUCUAAUCUACAUGUGGUCUCAACAAAUUCCAAGAUUCACAGUAUCACCUAUAUGCUAAUGACGAUCACAUCAGUUUUUCCUGCCUCUAUUUUCAAAUAGAUCCUGAACAUUUCCCGAAUAUAGUAAGAUAAAUAUCUCAAAUUCAACAUGCUCAAAAUCCAAAACUGUUCUUCUGUGUUUCAGUUAUAGUAUCACCACCUACUUGGUUACCUAAGCUUUACAAAUAUUAGCAAUUUGCAAUUUAGCAGAUCGUUAUAUAGAGCAAUAAGCCUUGUAUUGAACACGAAGGAGGAUAAAAGAUAAGUAAGAUAUGGUCCUGGGCAAGAACGCUCCCCCAUCUGAAGAUUCCAGCAAGCAAGAUGACACAAUUCCAGGUGCUAAGGAGUAAAGGACCGAGUAAAUGUACCUGACACUAUUGGUAAUUGGACUUAGAGGAGAGACGAAACAAGUGCUAGAUUUUGAAAGUUAAGUACAAUGUGGUAAAAUAUGUUCUAAGCAAAAGAACAGCCAGUGUUAAGAUACAUAAGCGUCAAUGACUCCAAUGGCUUCAGUGAAGCUUGAGUAUUGAGGAAAUUUAGAAAGAACGAAGUAAUAAAUGUGGCCAGGAAGGCAGGUAUGGCUAUAACUGUAGCAGAUCUUAUGUGCCAACUCUAAAGAGUUAGGGUGUUGGGCCUCCCCAGUGGUGCA